UACAGAGGGGGCAAGCGUUGUUCGGAAUCACUGGGCGUAAAGGGCGUGUAGGCGGUCAAGUAAGUGGAAUGUGAAAGCCCCCGGCUUACCCGGGGAUCUGCAUCCCAAACUGCUUGGCUUGAGUACGGGAGAGGAUAGGGGAAUUCCUGGUGUAGCGGUGAAAUGCGUAGAUAUCAGGAGGAACACCGGUGGCGAAGGCGCCUAUCUGGCCCGAUACUGACGCUGAGGCGCGAAAGCUAGGGGAGCAAACGGG
rnacentral:rRNA from 1 species